UCUGAGGUUCUGUGAGCAGGCUGUAAUGAUCAUGAGAUCCCUGGGUCGAGUGAUCAGCUGCUUCUCAGAUCUAGAGGAACUACCAUCAACCACCAAAGAACUUGAGAAGACCCACGGUGUAGGCAUACAGCAACAAAGGGUGUUCCGUGAAGCUGUGUAUCAUAUGUUUUGCUCUGCACUGGUGCGGAAACUGACCUCUGAGGAGCUGUUUGCGGUACAGACUCUGACAGGGGACCCAUCGCCACAUGGCAGCAAUGAUAAAGCCUGGGAUGCACGAUCAGAUGACAUUCCAGAGCACUGGAAUGGCAGGCAGGCCACAGACAAGGAAAUGCAGGCAGCCACAGUGUUGCAGGCAGGUUGGAAAGGAUACCUAGUCAGAGAGAUCCUCACUGCAGCAAGACCAGGUAAAGUC
rnacentral:lncRNA from 1 species